rnacentral:tRNA from 1 species
GCCGGGGUGGCGGAAUGGUAGACGCGCCAGACUUAAAAUCUGUUGUCCUNAUAGGACGUGGGAGUUCGAGUCUCCCCCUCGGCACCA